CUUCAAGACAGACAGGGAGCAGCUGAGCACGCCAGCUCACAGACAGCCACCCUGCUCACACUCAUCUGAGCCCAAAUCCCAGCACCUGGCAAGCACAGUCAGCUGAAGUCUCUGAUGGGUAAUUCUGCAAAACACCCGAAGCCUUAAAAACACAGGCAGUUCUAUUAUUUGCCCCUAAGAACUAGUGCCAAGCCACAGAGAGCCACGUUUGCAGAACAUGUUGCCAUCGGAGAGCUCCAAACCAGUGCUGGGCCUGGGACCUGCUUCCAGGAAGGAGCAAGGCCCUCACCCAAGGACCUGGAGAACGUACUCUGCUCUCCGGGCAACCGCCCGGCUUCACCCACAGGCCCCGCCGGCCGCUCCCUCCUCCUCCAUCUUCUACCUUAAGAGUCAGGUAUUACUCCUCUGUUCAGCCCAGGAGGAAACUGAGACUCUGGGAUUAAGUGCCAAGAUUACCCCAAGGUGCUCUGCAGCUCCAGCUCGUCCCUGUCAAAGAUCAGAAGCAGAAACCACAAGGAAGGCUCUUGCCCCCAUCUGGAUCCUUUGCUCCUGCCCCCUCACUGACCUUGAUGCCGCCUCAUGGGCUCCCCUGCCCGCGCACAGCCUGGUGAGUCCCCUCCAUUUGGGAUCUGUGAGUGUAACAAGCUUUCAAAGGCCGUUGUCUCCUGAUCUGAUCUCACCAUACCUGAACAGUAAUAAGACCUGAUGAAGUUCUAGAACCUAGGUGAGGUUUGGUGGGCUGAGGUCCGGAGCCGAUGACCAAGAAAGAAUUCUUGAGACAUCUUUGGUGCAAAAUGGUGGUUUAUUAAAGCACGG
rnacentral:lncRNA from 1 species